rnacentral:rRNA from 1 species
GAUCCUGGCUCAGGAUGAACGCUAGCGACAGGCUUAACACAUGCAAGUCGAGGGGCAUCAUGAGGUAGCAAUACCUUGAUGGCGACCGGCGCACGGGUGAGUAACGCGUAUGCAACCUGCCCGAUACCGGGGUAUAGCCCAUGGAAACGUGGAUUAACACCCCAUAGUACUUUUAUCCUGCAUGGGAUGUGAGUUAAAUGUUCAAGGUAUCGGAUGGGCAUGCGUCCUAUUAGUUAGG